rnacentral:rRNA from 1 species
ACGCUCGACACCUACGGGAGGCAGCAGUGGGGAAUAUUGCACAAUGGGGGAAACCCUGAUGCAGCGACGCCGCGUGAAGGAAGAAGUAUCUCGGUAUGUAAACUUCUAUCAGCAGGGAAGAAAAUGACGGUACCUGACUAAGAAGCCCCGGCUAACUACGUGCCCGCAGCCGCGGUAAUCUGAGCGGCUGCAAGGC